rnacentral:rRNA from 1 species
UAAGGGGUGCCACCAUCAGGUGGCCGCAGAGAAUAGGCCCAAGCGACUGUUUACCAAAAACAUAGGUUUCUGCUAAGUCGCAAGACGAUGUAUAGGAGCUGACGCCUGCCCGGUGCUGGAAGGUUAAGGGGAUCUGUUAGAGCAAUCGAAGCAGUGAACUUAAGCCCCAGUAAACGGCGGCCGUAACUAUAACGGUCCUAAGGUAGCGAAAUUCCUUGUCGGGUAAGUUCCGACCCGCACGAAAGGCGUAACGAUUUGGGCACUGUC